CGCCUGUUUAUCAAAAACAUCUCUUUUUGGUUUUAUUUAAACCUGCUCAAUGAAAUUUAAAUAGCCGCGGUAAAUUAACUGUGCUAAGGUAGCAUAAUAAUUAGUCUUUUAAUUGAGGUCUGGAAUGAAUGGUUGAACGAAAAAUUUACUUUAUUUUUUUUAUUGUUUUGAAUUUUAUUUUUUAGUCAAAAAGCUUAAAUAUUAAAGAGGGACGAUAAGACCCUAUAGAUCUUGAAUUUAUUAAAUUAAUUUAUUUUUUUGUUGUUUUUAUUAAUUUAUUUUAAUUAAUUUUAGUUGGGGCGAUGAAUAAAAUUUUAAUCUUUUUUUUUUUUUUACAUUAUAUUUGGAUAUUUGAUCCUUUUUUUUUGAUUAAAAGAUAAAGAUACCUUAGGGAUAACAGCGUUAUUUAGUUGGAGAGUUCUUAUUGAUAAUUAAGUUUGCGACCUCGAUGUUGGAUUAAUAAUUUCUGUGGGGUAGGUUUCACAGUUUAAGGUCUGUUCGACUUAUAAAUUUUACAUGAUCUGAGUUCAGACCGG
rnacentral:rRNA from 1 species